UACAGAGGUCUCAAGCGUUGUUCGGAUUCAUUGGGCGUAAAGGGUGCGUAGGCGGCUCGGUAAGUCGGGUGUGAAAUCUCGGGGCUUAACUCCGAAACUGCAUUCGAUACUGCCGUGCUUGAGGACUGGAGAGGAGACUGGAAUUUACGGUGUAGCGGUGAAAUGCGUAGAUAUCGAGAGGAACACCUGCGGCGAAGGCGGGUAGCUGGGCCGACACUGGCGCUGAGGCGCGAAAGCUAGGGGAGCGAACGGG
rnacentral:rRNA from 1 species